GGUUGCGAUCAUACCAGCACUAAUGCACCGGAUCCCAUCAGAACUCCGCAGUUAAGCGUGCUUGGGCGAGAGUAGUACUAGGAUGGGUGAUCCCAUCAGCUUGUAUUCUUUUAUUUACCGGUCGAUGUUUCUUUGGCGUAGCAUGCGGGUGGCCGUUGAUGUGGGGAACGGGGCUACGGGGUGCCCGGA
rnacentral:rRNA from 1 species